rnacentral:rRNA from 1 species
AUUUACACUUGAGUGAGUGGCGAACUGGUGAGUAACACGCUGGGUAAACCUGCCCAGAAGCGGGGGAUAACACCUGGAAACAGAUGCUAAUACCGCAUAACAACUUGGACCGCAUGGUCCGAGCUUGAAAGAUGGCUUCGGCUAUCACUUUUGGAUGGUCCCGCGGCGUAUUAGCUAGAUGGUGGGGUAACGGCUCACCAUGGCAAUGAUACGUAGCCGACCUGAGAGGGUAAUCGGCCACAUUGGGACUGAGACACGGCCCAAACUCCUACGGGAGGCAGCAGUAGGGAAUCUUCCACAAUGGACGAAAGUCUGAUGGAGCAACGCCGCGUGAGUGAAGAAGGGUUUCGGCUCGUAAAACUCUGUUGUUAAAGAAGAACAUAUCUGAGAGUAACUGUUCAGGUAUUGACGGUAUUUAACCAGAAAGCCACGGCUAACUACGUGCCAGCAGCCGCGGUAAUACGUAGGUGGCAAGCGUUGUCCGGAUUUAUUGGGCGUAAAGCGAGCGCAGGCGGUUUUUUAAGUCUGAUGUGAAAGCCUUCGGCUCAACCGAAGAGGUGCAUCGGAAACUGGGAAACUUGAGUGCAGAAGAGGACAGUGGAACUCCAUGUGUAGCGGUGAAAUGCGUAGAUAUAUGGAAGAACACCAGUGGCGAAGGCGGCUGUCUGGUCUGUAACUGA